rnacentral:rRNA from 1 species
GCAGUCGAGCGCCUCGCAGAGGAGCGGCAGACGGGUGAGUAACGCGUGGGAAUCUACCCAUCUCUACGGAACAACUCCGGGAAACUGGAGCUAAUACCGUAUACGUCCUUCGGGAGAAAGAUUUAUCGGAGAUGGAUGAGCCCGCGUUGGAUUAGCUAGUUGGUGGGGUAAUGGCCUACCAAGGCGACGAUCCAUAGCUGGUCUGAGAGGAUGAUCAGCCACAUUGGGACUGAGACACGGCCCAAACUCCUACGGGAGGCAGCAGUGGGGAAUAUUGGACAAUGGGCGAAAGCCUGAUCCAGCCAUGCCGCGUGAGUGAUGAAGGCCCUAGGGUUGUAAAGCUCUUUCAACGGUGAAGAUAAUGACUGUAACCGUAGAAGAAGCCCCGGCUAACUUCGUGCCAGCAGCCGCGGUAAUACGAAGGGGGCUAGCGUUGUUCGGAAUUACUGGGCGU